rnacentral:rRNA from 1 species
AACCCGGGGAACUGAAACAUCUAAGUACCCGGAGGAAAAGAAAUCAACCGAGAUUCCCUAAGUAGCGGCGAGCGAACGGGGACCAGCCGAAUCAGUGUGGUGUAGUGGAAGGCUCUGGAAAGUGCCGGCACAGAGGGUGAUACCCCCGUACGCGAAACACCGCAUUGGACACAUUAAGUAGGGCGGGGCACGUGAAACCUUGUCUGAACAUGGGGGGACCAUCCUCCAAGGCUAAAUACUCGUUGUCGACCGAUAGUGAACCAGUACCGUGAGGGAAAGGUGAAAAGCACCCCGACGAGGGGAGUGAAACAGACCCUGAAACUGGACGCCUACAAGCAGUCGGAGGGCGAAAGCCUGACGGCGUACCUUUUGUAUAAUGGGUCAGCGACUUCGUCUCACGUGCAAGCUUAAGCCGAUAGGUGUAGGCGCAGCGAAAGCGAGUCUGAAUAGGGCGAUUGAGUACGUGGGAUGAGACCCGAAGCCGAGUGAUCUAGCCAUGGGCAGGUUGAAGGUGCGGUAACACGCACUGGAGGACCGAACCCACGUCUGUUGAAAAAGACGGGGAUGACCUGUGGCUAGGGGUGAAAGGCCAAUCAAACUCGGAAAUAGCUGGUUCUCCGCGAAAUCUAUUUAGGUAGAGCGUCAUCCGAAUACCCUCGGGGGUAGAGCACUGGAUGGGCUAGGGGGCCCCAACGGCUUACCAAACCUAACCAAACUCCGAAUACCGAGGAGUACUAGAUGGCAGACACACUACGGGUGCUAAGGUCCGUAGUGGAGAGGGAAACAGCCCUGACCGCCAGCUAAGGUCCCUAAGUUAUCACUAAGUGGGAAACGAUGUGGGAGUGCUUAGACAACCAGGAGGUUGGCUUAGAAGCAGCCACCCUUUAAAGAAAGCGUAAUAGCUCACUGGUCGAGUCGGCCUGCGCGGAAGAUGUAACGGGGCUAAGCAAUAUACCGAAGCUGCGGCAGCACGUAUGUGCUGGGUAGGGGAGCGUUGUGUAAGUGGAUGAAGGUGAAUCGAGAGG